GACGUAGGAUGCGAGCGUUGUCCGGAUUUAUUGGGCGUAAAGAGUUCGUAGGUGGUUUGUUAAGUCUGAUGUUAAAGACUGAGGCUCAACCUCGGGAGUGCAUUGGAUACUGGCAGACUGGAGUGUAGUAGAGGCAAGCGGAAUUCCCAGUGUAGCGGUGAAAUGCGUAGAUAUCUGGAGGAACACCGGUGGCGAAGGCGGCAUCCUGGACCGACACUGGCGCUGAGGAGCGAAAGCCAGG
rnacentral:rRNA from 1 species